GGGCAACACACAAUCCCAGGUCACCAGAUAAUUUGCACAUCCCUUUCACUUCUCUUGUCUCACGAAAGGCAAACACCUUUACACAAGGAAGCCUUUCAGUGGUGCUAUAGUCAUCCCAGUCUCUUCCUACAAUAUAAAACAAUAUUUGCACUUGUGGCUGUGUGGGAAAAAUUUUAUCCUUGAGAAUAUAAGCUUUAAUUUUCCAAUUAAAAGUAAACUUUUCUUUAGAUUCAAAAUUGUUAAGAAGUAAAAGUGUGUCCUGUGGGAUUGUUUGCUCAACAAAAAAAGGCCCAUAGCUUGCAUUCAUUACAGGUUGCUUC